AUAACAGGCCCGGCAGAAAAACAUUCUUAAGGUUUUUAAUUACAUUCUUUUAUGUCUGGGUUUUAUACACGGCUUUAGGUUUUUUCUGUCUGUUUCCCCUUCCCCCUUUCCUAUUUUCCUUUUCUUUUUCAAGCCAGGGUUUCUUUGUGUAGCUCUGGUUGUAUUGAUGAGGCUGGCCUUGAAAUCAGAGAUCUCCCUGCCUCUGGCUCCCAAGUGCUGGAUUAAAGGUGUGCACCACCACCACUUGUCCUCACUGUUGUCAUUACCACUGGUUUUUGUUUUAUUUUCUGAGAUAGGGACAGCCAAAAAGAAAAAAAAGAAGCCUCAGUGUGCUCGCUUUGUAUUUUCUGAAUCCUUACUGUAGGUGCUGUGCCUCACUUUAUUUAUUAAGGAAAUACCAUGUAGUGCUCCAUUCUUUUUACUGGUUGGUUUUGUUUUCUCCUUUUUAGGUAGUACUGGGAAU
rnacentral:lncRNA from 1 species